CCUGCCAUAUCCUUAGGUAAAUUGUCCCAACAUUUAACUGUCCUUAUCUAAUGACUAAUUAUCCUCAUUUUUUAAAAACAACCUUCACAUUGUAUUCAAGUCACUUGAUCUUGUCAUGCUUUAUUUCUCUCCUGUUGUUAAACUGAGCAGGCUUUCCUUACUAAAGGCUGAGCCAAGUCUUUCCUCAUCAGACAUAGGCUCUGCUCUUGCAAAAACUUACUUUUUAAGACUUGGGUGGAGGAGAGAAUCAGUCAGUAGGCCAAUGGGGCCUCGAGGGUUAGGAGAUGGACAGGGAAGGGUCUGGAACAAAGGGCAGGGUUUACAAUGAUGGACAGGGAAGGGUCUGGAAUAAGGGGCAGGGUUUACAAUGAUGGACAGGGAAGGGUCUGGAAUAAGGGGCAGGGCAUACAGUGAUGGGCAACUGGGAACUUAGGGUGAUUGGACAAGGGGGAGAUUGACAUAGACCACUCUGGAAAAUAGGGAAGGCUCUUGGGGUGAAUGACAUUAGGAAAAAGGAGGAGUUAAGAUGGAUACAACCAUUCCCCUUGGGGGGGGGGAAGUAACAAGGACAAACCAUAUGUAAAACAUAUAUUACCAAAAUGCACCACCACAGGGCAUGGCACAAGUGUUUUCACCAUCUGCAUCCCUGUCAUCAUGAAGUAGAAAGGGUAUAUGGUCCACUUCCAGCAUUACAAGAGAAAUCUACUGUUUUUUACUGCUGUGAAGAGCAAGAAUAACAGUGUACUUAACACUUGAAUUUUUUGAAAAUUCUAGAUUUUGAAAUUCAAAUUUUUUUAGGGCUGUAACUUUUAACCUGUGCCUUUUUUGUCUUCUUCAAUAUAUUGAUGUGAUCCAGCAGUUUGGUCGGUAUGACUGAGUCCUUGCAGACAUCAAAUUCCCCAAGCUUUUCACAGGUGGAAAGCUCUUCCUGCUGGCACCUUUCUCCAGAGCAGGACUUACAGGAAGAUGAAACUACAUGCUUCCUGUGGGAGAAAGAGAAAAAAAAAUGGAGCAAGAAACGGACAAGAAAGCUUCCUAAAGGUUCCUCAAAUGAAGCAAAGGAAACCAAGAGACAGAAAGGCUAAAGCCAGAAAUGUUACUGAAGAGGCCAACAGAGAAUGUAGCUUCUUGUUGGAGCACUUUGAGCAAAACUCCCAUUUCAGGAAAGCUGAAGAGCCUACAGCAAGAGAAGCAAGAAGGCUGAGAACCUUAUUUGGUGAGCAGAAUAGGAGAAAUCUAGCACCAGGAAUAUCUCAGUCUCUGGAGAAGAAAGAUAGAGCAAAGAAUUAGUACCAGUACCAUGGUCUAGCACCA
rnacentral:lncRNA from 1 species